rnacentral:rRNA from 1 species
ACGUGAGUAAUCUGCCCCAGGCUUUGGGAUAGCCACCGGAAACGGUGAUUAAUACCGGAUAUGACAACUUCUUGCAUGAGAUGGUUGUGGAAAGUUUUUCGGCCAGGGAUGUGCUCGCGGCCUAUCAGCUUGAUGGUGAGGUAAUGGCUCACCAUGGCUUCGACGGGUAGCCGGCCUGAGAGGGUGACCGGCCACACUGGGACUGAGACACGGCCCAGACUCCUACGGGAGGCAGCAGUGGGGAAUAUUGGACAAUGGGCGGAAGCCUGAUCCAGCAACGCCGCGUGAGGGAUGACGGCCUUCGGGUUGUAAACCUCUUUCAGCAGGGACGAAGCGCAAGUGACGGUACCUGCAGAAGAAGCACCGGCCAACUACGUGCCAGCAGCCGCGGUAAUACGUAGGGUGCGAGCGUUGUCCGGAAUUAUUGGGCGUAAAGGGCUCGUAGGCGGUUUGUCGCGUCGGGAGUGAAAACCAGGUGCUUAACACCAGGCUUGCUUUCGAUACGGGCAGACUAGAGGUAUUCAGGGGAGAACGGAAUUCCUGGUGUAGCGGUGAAAUGCGCAGAUAUCAGGAGGAACACCGGUGGCGAAGGCGGUUCUCUGGGAAUGACCAGACGCUGAGGAGCGAAAGUGUGGGGAGCGAACAGGAUUAGAUACCCUGGUAGUCCACACCGUAAACGUUGGGCGCUAGGUGUDGDGUCCAUUCCACGGAUUCCGUGCCGCAGCUAACGCAUUAAGCGCCCCGCCUGGDGAGUACGGCCGCAAGCUAAAACUCAAAGGAAUUGACGGGGCCGCACAAGCDCGGASAUGCAUGCGGAUUAAUUCGAUGCAACGCGAAGAACCUUACCUGGGUUUGACAUACACCCUGCCGCUCCAGAGAUGGGGCUUCUUUUGGGGGUGUACAGGUGGUGCAUGGCUGUCGUCAGCUCGUGUCGUGAGAUGUUGGGUUAAGUCCCGCAACGAGCGCAACCCUCGUUCUAUGUUGCCAGCACGUAAUGGUGGGGACUCAUAGGAGACUGCCGGGGUCAACUCGGAGGAAGGUGGGGAUGACGUCAAGUCAUCAUGCCCCUUAUGUCCAGGGCUUCACGCAUGCUACAAUGGCCGGUACAAAGGGCUGCGAUCCCGUAAGGGGGAGCGAAUCCCAAAAAGCCGGUCUCAGUUCGGAUUGGGGUCUGCAACUCGACCCCAUGAAGUCGGAGUCGCUAGUAAUCGCAGAUCAGCAACGCUGCGGUGAAUACGUUCCCGGGCCUUGUACACACCGCCCGUCACGUCACGAAAGUCGGCAACACCCGAAGCCGGUGGCCCAACCCUUGUGGAGGGAGCCGUCGAAGGUGGGGCUGGCGAUUGGGACGAA